rnacentral:rRNA from 1 species
CAGCCGCCGCGGGAAUACGAAGGGGGCUAGCGUUGUUCGGAUUUACUGGGCGUAAAGGGCGCGUAGGCGGGCGAUUAAGUCAGGGGUGAAAUCCCAAGGCUCAACCUUGGAACUGCCUUUGAUACUGAUUGUCUUGAGUUCGAGAGAGGUAAGUGGAACUGCGAGUGUAGAGGUGAAAUUCGUAGAUAUUCGCAAGAACACCAGUGGCGAAGGCGGCUUACUGGCUCGAUACUGACGCUGAGGCGCGAAAGCGUGGGGAGCAAACAGGAUUAGAUACCCGUGUAGUCCCUGUCUCUUAUAC